GACGAACGCUGGCGGCGUGCCUAAUACAUGCAAGUUGAGCGAUGAAGAUUGGUGCUUGCACCAAUUUGAAGAGCAGCGAACGGGUGAGUAACGCGUGGGGAAUCUGCCUUUGAGCGGGGGACAACAUUUGGAAACGAAUGCUAAUACCGCAUAACAACUUUAAACAUAAGUUUUAAGUUUGAAAGAUGCAAUUGCAUCACUCAAAGAUGAUCCCGCGUUGUAUUAGCUAGUUGGUGAGGUAAAGGCUCACCAAGGCGAUGGUACAUAGCCGACCUGAGAGGGUGAUCGGCCACAUUGGGACUGGGACACGGCCCCAACUCCUACGGGAGGCAGCAGUAGGGGAUCUUCGGGAAUGGGCGGAAGUCUGGCCGGGCCACGCCGCGUGAGUGGAGGAGGUUUUCGGGUCGUAAAACUCUGUUGGUAGGGAAGAACGUUGGUGGGAGUGGAAAGCUCAUCAAGUGACGGUAACUACCCAGAAAGGGACGGCUAACUACGUG
rnacentral:rRNA from 1 species